AGGGGGGUUGCGCUGCUAGAUAGCCAUGCACGUCUAGUACAAACUAAAUGAUGGUGAAACUGCAAAUGGCUAAAAAACGGUUAUGAUGUACCCGGGAGUUCCGAUGGAUAUUUCCAGUAACACUAGAACUAAUACAUGUCCCUGCGUUUAUUAGUUUCGCACAGUCCGUCGCUGAGUCAUGGUAAACAGUUGAUCGACUCGACGUCCCGGAACAGUUUCCGCCCCAUCAGCUUCGAUGGUUGGGUAUUGGCCUACCAUUGCAACAACGGGUAACGAGGAAUUAGGGUUUGAUUUCGGAGAGGGAGCCUGAGAAACGGCUACCACAUCUACGGAUGGCAGCAGGCGCGCAAAUUACCCAAUGCAGACACUGUGAGGUAGUGACGAGAAAUAAUAAAGCGGGACUUCUGUUUCGCUAUUAUAAUGAGGAAUAACCAAAGGUCAUUCCGAUUAGCAACUGAUGGGAAAGUCUGGUGCCAGCAGCCGCGGUAAUACCAGCGUCA
rnacentral:rRNA from 1 species